ACCACCACCACCACCACCAGCAGCACCACCUUCUCAGCUCCGCCAUUAUCAGUCAUCAACGCGGCACCACUAGUGAACAAAACACUCCCUUUGCACCUUUUCACGGGGUCUUGCGGUGACUCCUCUCGCUCUGCAGGAAGGUGGACAGGUGUGUGGGUCACCUGUGGAAGGAGCGCCCCACUGUCUCUUGGGUGACGGCUGACGGAACAGGAGAUGAAGAGACUGAUAACUAUUUCCUCAUGGCGAAGCAACAAGGUUACGAGACAGCGCUGCCUCCCCCACCAGGAAUUCUACGAUAAGCUGGAAUCGAGCCAGGAAAUAUACAGCCUCUAGCCAAGCACUUUACCACAGAGCCAGAUGAAUCCAACAAUUAAAAGAGACUGCAGGUGUUCAGUGUUGACUUGAAGGUAUAGUAGUAGUAGUGGUAGUAGUAGUAGUAGUAGUAGUGGUGCUGGUGGUAGUAAUAGUGUGUUUACCUCUUCCUCAAUCAUUUACUACUUCUGGUACCUAUUGCUCCUUUUCAGUUUCAUAUUAAAUUUUGAACAAUACCCACAAAAAGAAAAGACUGUCGCGUGUUUAGCAAAGGUUAGUAAAAUUGUUCAGGAUUCUUCAAAUAAAUGCCACUAGCAGUCAAAUAAGUCAAAGGAGGGAUAAGACAGGGAAGAUUAUCUGAAAGGGGGAGAGAGAGAGAGAGAGAGAGAGAGAGAGAGAGAGAGAGAGAGAGAGAGAAUUGGACUUAAUCAGGAGACCGAGAGAGAUAGAGGAGCAGGACUUGGAGUAAAUCGAGAGAGAGAGAGAGAGAGAGAGAGAGAGAGAGAGAGAGAGAGAGAGAGAGAGAGAGAGAGAGUAGAGUAGAGUAGGAAUUGGAGUUAAUCAAGGGACAGAGAAAAGUGAUAGGGAAAAAUAGAAGUGGUGUGUUGUGUUCGUUCAAGGGAGCAAUUUUUAGAACGCACCUGCCACAGUACAGGUAAAUCCUCCAUAGCUCUCUUACAGGUGUGACAGUCAAUUAGGGGAAGAGUAAUCA